rnacentral:tRNA from 1 species
GGCUGAGUAGCUCAGUGGAUUGAGAGCCAAGCCUAGAGGGUGGGAGGUCCUAGGUUCGAAUCCAGCCUCAGCCA